GGCUUUUUGGUAAAAUUCCAUUUAAAGUUUUUUUUGUUUUUGUUUUUGUUUUUAAAUUACAUUGAUGGAGAGAGUGGGUCUUAUAAUUUUAGGGCCUCCAAAGGUCUUAAUCAGGCUCUGAUGGUGAGCACAUUAGGGCAAUGGGGAGUUACUGAAGCAUUAGCAAGAGGGUGGCGAAAAUGCCCUCCUUUCUCUUUGUCUUACCACGUUCCUGAGGACCUCAGUUCAGUAAGCGCAAACGGGCGGGCGUGGCUGCGGAGAUGGAGACCAUCCACUUCCUGGUUUUCCGCUCAGCCUGCGGGAAAGCAACGAAUCUCCUGAGUUUCAGAGUGCUGAGACAGAGGACGAUGGGCUGGGCUUCAGUUCCCUCACCUGGAGAGUGACGAGAACACCAGUACAAAACUCCAGGGCUGUUGGGAAGAUGGAAUGAAAUAGUAC
rnacentral:lncRNA from 1 species